rnacentral:snRNA from 1 species
CACGGAAUCGAGAGCUCC